rnacentral:rRNA from 1 species
UCCGUAGGUGGAUAAUUAAGUCAGGGGUGAAAGUCUGCAGCUCAACUGUAGAAUUGCCCUUGAUACUGGUUGUCUUGAGUCAUUAUGAAGUAGUUAGAAUAUGUAGUGUAGCGGUGAAAUGCAUAGAUAUUACAUAGAAUACCAAUUGCGAAGGCAGAUUACUAAUAAUGUACUGACACUGAUGGACGAAAGCGUGGGGAGCAAACAGGAUUAGAUACCCUGGUAGUCC